rnacentral:tRNA from 1 species
GGAGGUUUGGCAGAGCGGCUUAUCGCGGCGGUCUUGAAAAUCGUUGUACCACAAGGUACCGGGGGUUUAAAUCCCUCAGCCUCCGCAA